ensembl:lncRNA
AGAGUUCAAGAGGCACAAGAACCCUCCUGUGCCUUCUAAGGGCCUUUUCUGUACAUUGUUCUAGCAAAUCCUUUUUUUAAAAAAAUUAAUUUAUUUUUUUUAACUGAAGGAUAAUUGCUUUACAGAAUUUUGUUGUUUUCUGUCAUGAGACUCUGGAGAGAGACAGGAUAAGCUUCCUCUCCAAGCUGCGGGCUUCUUUUUGUCCAGCAUCCUGCCUCAGUGCCUUCUGGACAGUUGGGGAGGGGGAACCUCCCCCUCUUCCUUGCCACCACUGCUCCCCCACCAGCCACCAGCCGGCCUGGCUCCAGGGGGCUGCACACACACAAGCUGAACUGUUGAGAGCUUUGGAUUGAAAUCAUCAUUCCUCAUCUUUCCAACUGCCAGAGCAGCCUUCUAAAAUACAGCCACGUGAAAAGAGAACAAGUAGAAAUUUAGCUGUUUAUAAUCCAGGUUUCCUUUUUCUCCAACCAGCUCCCCCGACCCACCAGUGCCUUUUUAUUUUAAAAAACAAACCACUAAAUCCUCUCUAGAACUGACAGGAGAAAAGUGAGGUUGGAAACCUGAGCUUGCCGCGUCUGCCUCUGCAAGCAGUGGUGCGUGUUUCCUCUGUGAGAAACCUCCCUGAAACUUCUGAAGCCAGGAUGUCCUGGCUGGCAGCUGUGAGGAAGGCGUGGGGACUGGAUUCAGGGAUGGGGGGAGGGGAAGCACUUUCUGGGCAGCCCUGGGCGACUUGCCGCCCUGAGAGGUCUUAUGGGGGAAAUUCCUUCAGGGCUCUUCUGCUGCCCCCAGCCCUUGUCUCUCGUGCACACACUUGCUUAUUCCAUUCUCCUUGUUUUCAUUUUCUAGUCCAAGGCAAUUCAGCAAAUAGUGAAGUGUUCCUGCUACUUGUCGACAUCUUCCUCAGCAUUGGGAACCUGCAUCUGCAACAGAUUUGGAGGGCCCUGAUCAUCUGGGCACAAAACCCCGCUUCACCAGGCACUGCAGGCUCUGCCCGCCAAAGACCGUGUGUGCUCACAGCUCAGAAACUCCCUGCUUUGAGGGGCACAAUUUUAAAAAAUAUUUCUGAAAAUUGGAAUAAUGUACAAGGAUGAAGAUAAAACAAAUUUUUGUUUUUUAGUAUUCAAUAAUUAAUUUCAUUGUAUUUGCAUAUUUGAAAGCAAGCAUUUUACUUGUUCAUUCUUUUCUUUAAAUUUUGGAACUUAUUUGUAAUAGUUUCAUCAUAGUUCCUACCUACUAAUUCCAUUGAUGCUGGCAUUUAUGCUUUAAUUAGGAUAUCCAUUAACUGAUUUUUUUUGGGGUUAUGGCCCACAGUUCCCUGAUUUAUCACUGUCUGUUAAGCUUUAGUUGAAUGCUGGAAAUUGUGAAUGUUGCAUUCUUGAGUGACUGGAUUUUUCUUUCUUUAAAAUGUGUUGAAUUUGUUUUGACAGACACUGAAUUACUUGGAGAUUAUAAGCUUUGUUAGAGUGGAUCUAAUUUAGCAUUAGUAGUGAAGCAUGACUAUUCUGGCAUCUCUAAUAAAAGCCUGAGCCUGGGAUGUGUAAUAAACA